rnacentral:rRNA from 1 species
GUCUUUUAAUUGAAGUCUGGAAUGAAUGGUUAGAUGAAAAAUUUACUUUCUUUAUUUUAUAUUAAAAAUUUGAUUUUUAAAUUAAAAAGUUUAAAUUAUAAUAGAGGACGAGAAGACCCUAUAGAACUUUAUUCCCUUUAUAAUAUUUAUUUACUUGUAAAUAAAUUUUUUUAUUUAUUAUAAAGGGAAUUAUGUUGGGGUGAUAAAAAAAAUUUCAUAACUUUUUUUAAUUAUAUCAUAUAUAUAUGAUUUUUUGAUCCUUUAAUAAGGAAAAAAGAUUAAGUUACCUUAGGGAUAACAGCGUUAUUAUUUUAGAGAGUUCAUAUUGAUAAAAUAGUUUGCGACCUCGAUGUUGGAUUAAAAUAAGUUUCAGGAGAAGAAAAUUGAUUGACUAGGUCUGUUCGACCUUUAAAUUUUUACA